ACUGAGUCCCCAGGCACGCAUUGGGGUGGCCACGGAUUACCACAUCUCUCCAGGACUCAAGCAGCUGGAAACAAUGCAUUUGAAAGACCACUGGACCCUGGAGUGAAGUGUAAGAAUUACAACAAUUUGCAGAACUUCUUAAAGGAUCAUGUGGUGAAGUUUCCAUCUACAGUGUGGAUAUCUGAUGGUGUAGACGUGAGAAAGCUUGAUGGACAGAGCAAACAGUUUCAUCUGGACCAUCUGUAAGAGCAGAUGUUCUGGUGUCCUUCCGUGGGAGUGCAAGCAGUAUGGGAAGAGGUAGAGUGCAGGGAACUCUCAUGCACAACAGCGCAAAGCAGGCCCUCUGCUCUUA